ACAGAGAAGUGCUAGUCCCACCCUCACUUACUGGACUUUUUCUCUGUGAUUCAGCUUCGACAAAUAUAAUGCUGUAGCUGGACAGGAAUAUGUUCUGGAUGACUAAAGUUUAUAAAUUCUGUGUGGAAUCAGCAUCAAGUAGAGAAUGGCAACUUGGAUUUCCAAAUGAAACCAAUGGGAAAUGGAUUUGAUGCAGAUUUCAGAGAAAACCACAAGAUGAAAAACUAUCCUCAGGCUAUCAAGUGUAGUGGGGAUGAUGGGAGUUGUAAUUCCUGAAUUCCAGUACAGUGGUUGCAGCAGGACCGUCAGGGAGUCUAUUGCCAUCCUG